CAGCAGCCGCGGUAAAACGUAGGGUGCAAGCGUUAAUCGGAAUUACUGGGCGUAAAGCGUGCGCAGGCGGUUUUGUAAGACAGAGGUGAAAUCCCCGGGCUCAACCUGGGAACUGCCUUUGUGACUGCAAGGCUAGAGUACGGCAGAGGGGGAUGGAAUUCCGCGUGUAGCAGUGAAAUGCGUAGAUAUGCGGAGGAACACCGAUGGCGAAGGCAAUCCCCUGGGCCUGUACUGACGCUCAUGCACGAAAGCGUGGGGAGCAAACAGGAUUAGAGACCCCUGUAGUCCCUGUCUCUUAUAC
rnacentral:rRNA from 1 species